GUUUAUUCAGCAACCUGAUCUAAGCAAGGAUUAUGGAAGAUUGAUCAAACAAAGUUUUUGGCACAAUCCAGCAACAAGCAUCAAUAAACUCUUUUUCCCCUGCUUUUCUUUUCCGCCAUACAUUCAGUUCAGUGCUCAGUCAGUAAUUUCUUAGAAACAUCUCACUAAACUCAAAAUGAGAACAGCAACAAAAACAAAAGGAAAUAUAUAGAGAGAUGACUUAAGUGAGUUUGGAAAUCACUUCUCAUAUGAAACACUCUUUUACUCACAUACACGAAAAGCAUCAAAAUUCCGUACCUCUGAUGUAAACAGCAGAAAGAAAAAGUCAUCUGGAAGGACAGCAUGAUUCAUAUUGAGGACCUGACUAGUAAUAUUCAUCAGUGUUGAAAUUCGCUCUGCAAGAUGACUACAUGUGAAAGCAGCACCAGUGAAAUCCCUGCUUUGGCCAUGAGAAGUAUCAUUAACUGCAAAGCUGUGUGGUUAGGCUCCAAUGCCACAACCCUUGCUCCAGUGAGUAAUCUUAAGUCAGCCAACCAGUCUCAGUUAAAACAACAGCACAAUUCAGGACCAAUCCUGCUCUCAUUGACAGUGAUGGGAAUUUUCAUUUUAGCUUCUUCAGAGAGUUUAGUGCAGGAAAAAAAGAGCGAAUUUCCCUGUGUGGAUGGUGUCUUCUCUGCAGCGUUUCCACGGUCUUGUGCAGUCUGAUGUUACAUUUAAAGCCAUUGAUGGUGGCCUGCAAACCUGAGCCUAACAAAUUCGGUGACAAAGGUCCUCCCAGCUGAGAAGAGUCGGUCCUUCGCUCUGCAGUGAUGUGACUUUUAUGAAAAUAGUUUUCUCUUUCUGACAAAGAGAAGCUGAAACCUACUGGCUCACCUGGCUGUGGAGGAAAGAUUAGAGAUGUGAACUCCAAGUUCCGAAAAAUGAGGCAAAGAGAAAGAACCCAGACUGUACUUCAAAUUAAAAAGUGCACAUUUGCGUUGGGGAUUUUUAAAAUGUUUUUAUUUUGUUGUGCUGUAUAUUGCUGCCUGUCACU
rnacentral:lncRNA from 1 species